UACGUAGGGGGCAAGCGUUAUCCGGAUUUACUGGGUGUAAAGGGAGCGUAGACGGUCCUGCAAGCCAGAUGUGAAAGCCCGGGGCUCAACCCCGGGACUGCAUUUGGAACUGUAAGGCUAGAGUGUCGGAGAGGCAGGCGGAAUUCCUAGUGUAGCGGUGAAAUGCGUAGAUAUUAGGAGGAAUACCAGUGGCGAAGGCGGCCUGCUGGACGAUGACUGACGUUGAGGCUCGAAAGCGUGGGGAGCAAACAGG
rnacentral:rRNA from 1 species